CAGCACCCAUCACAGCCUUCCCCUGAUCUGCCCCUUUAAGAAAAAUCAGCCCUCUCCGCUCCUCACCCUCCGCACACUGACCUUACACACUGGACAAUAUUUAAGGAUCAAGGUGCCAUCCUAGGAAGAGAAGAAAUCACUGGCUCCUCUGGCCAUGAAAAAACACCGUGUAAAUUGCCAUUUCAGAUUUUUCAAAAAACACGUUUAGCUCUAAGAAUUCUUCCGAAUUCGUUACACUCCACCGCGCGAGGCUGCGCCUUGAUGGCCCCGGCGAAGUGACUCAUGUUCCAUUGGGUUUAUUCCUGUGAAGACUUGUGCUAAAACAGAGGAAAGUGCAGAGCCUUUGGGGAGGGAAUGGCACAGUUUGGAAAGCAUCAGACACGCUCACUGUUCCCUGUCAGAAAACGAGAGCUCUGAUUUACAUCCCCUGCGAGAA